rnacentral:rRNA from 1 species
GCAAAGCCGCGAGGCAGAGCAAAACCCUAAAAAAUCGUCUCAGUUCAGAUUGCAGGCUGCAACUCGCCUGCAUGAAGUCGGAAUUGCUAGUAAUCGCAGAUCAGCAUGCUGCGGUGAAUACGUUCCCGGGCCUUGUACACACCGCCCGUCACACCAUGGGGGUCGGUAACACCCGAAGUCAGUAGCCUAAACCGAAAGGGAGGGCGCUGCCGAAGGUGGGGUCGAUGAUUGGGGUGAAGUCGUAACAAGGUAAC